AUCAUUAGCUUGCUGUAGAGUAGAAAUGUUCUCAGUUUGCUUUUCAACCACAAUCUCAAGAUUCCUGACAGAAGCCUGAGACGUCUGUAACUCCAAUAGAGCUGUGUCCUUCUCUGCACCUAGGUCUGAAAUUUGAGCAUGCAGAUUGCUCCUGGCUUCUUCAAACUGCUUGUCCAAGGUGGAGUUGUUUUCUAGCUGUAUGGAAAGCUCCUCUUUCAGUCGUGUCACCUCGUUCUCAAGAUUUUGUACUGAAGUCUCUGACUGCUUCAGUUGUGUUAGCACUGUAUCCUUCUCUUCUUGUAUUGCCUUCAACUCAUCCUGCAUCUCCGCCUUGGCUUGUUGUGAUUGCUCAGUCAAAGUGUAGAUGUUCUUCUGUAGCUCAUCAUUAGCUUGCUGUAGAGUAGAAAUGUUCUCAGUUUGCUUUUCAACCACAGUCUCAAGAUUCCUGACAGAAGCCUGAGACGUCUGUAACUCUAAUAGAGCUGUGUCCUUCUCUGCACCUAGGUCUGAAAUUUGAGCAUGCAGAUUGCUCCUGGCUUCUUCAAACUGCUUGUCCAAGGUGGAGUUGUUUUCUAGCUGUUCGGAAAGCUCCUCUUUCAGCCGUGUCACCUCAUUCUCAAGAUUUUGUACUGAAGUCUCUGACUGCUUCAGUUGUGUUAGCACUGUAUCCUUCUCUUCUUGUAUUGCCUUCAACUCAUCCUGCAUCUCCGCCUUGGCUUGUUGUGAUUGCUCAGUCAAAGUGUAGAUGUUCUUCUGUAACUCAUCAUUAGCUUGCUGUAGAGUAGAAAUGUUCUCAGUUUGCUUUUCAACCACAAUCUCAAGAUUCCUGACAGAAGCCUGAGACGUCUGUAACUCCAAUAGAGCUGUGUCCUUCUCUGCACCUAGGUCUGAAAUUUGAGCAUGCAGAUUGCUCCUGGCUUCUUCAAACUGCUUGUCCAAGGUGGAGUUGUUUUCUAGCUGUAUGGAAAGCUCCUCUUUCAGUCGUGUCACCUCGUUCUCAAGAUUUUGUACUGAAGUCUCUGACUGCUUCAGUUGUGUUAGCACUGUAUCCUUCUCUUCUUGUAUUGCCUUCAACUCAUCCUGCAUCUCCGCCUUGGCUUGUUGUGAUUGCUCAGUCAAAGUGUAGAUGUUCUUCUGUAGCUCAUCAUUAGCUUGCUGUAGAGUAGAAAUGUUCUCAGUUUGCUUUUCAACCACAAUCUCAAGAUUCCUGACAGAAGCCUGAGACGUCUGUAACUCCAAUAGAGCUGUGUCCUUCUCUGCACCUAGGUCUGAAAUUUGAGCAUGCAGAUUGCUCCUGGCUUCUUCAAACUGCUUGUCCAAGGUGGAGUUGUUUUCUAGCUGUAUGGAAAGCUCCUCUUUCAGUCGUGUCACCUCAUUCUCAAGAUUUUGUACUGAAGUCUCUGACUGCUUCAGUUGUGUUAGCACUGCAUCCUUCUC
rnacentral:lncRNA from 1 species